CGGGAAUUUUGGGCAAUGGGCGAAAGCCUGACCCAGCAACGCCGCGUGAGGGAUGAAGUAUUUCGGUAUGUAAACCUCGAAAGAAUGGGAAGAAUAAAUGACGGUACCAUUUAUAAGCUCCGGCUAACUACGUGCCAGCAGCCGCGGUAAUACGUAGGGAGCAAGCGUUGUUCGGAUUUACUGGGCGUAAAGGGCGCGUAGGCGGCGCGGUAAGUCACUUGUGAAAUCUCUGAGCUUAACUCAGAACGGCCAAGUGAUACUGCUGUGCUAGAGUGCGGAAGAGGCCACCGGAAUUCUUGGUGUAGCGGUGAAAUGCGUAGAUAUCAAGAGGAACACCUGAGGCGAAGGCGGGUUGCUGGGCCGACACUGACGCUGAUGCGCGAAAGCCAGGGGAGCAAACG
rnacentral:rRNA from 1 species